AUUGAACGCUGGCGGCAGGCCUAACACAUGCAAGUCGAACGAGUGGCGGACGGGUGAGUAAUGUCUGGGAAACUGCCUGAUGGAGGGGGAUAACUACUGGAAACGGUAGCUAAUACCGCAUACCAUCAGAUGUGCCCAGAUGGGAUUGGCUUGUUGGUGGGGAAAAGGCUCACCAGGGCGACGAUCCCUAGCUGGUCUGAGAGGAUGACCAGCCACACUGGAACGGGGACACGGUCCAGACUCCUAGGGGAGGAAGCAGUGGGGAAUAUUGGACAAUGGGCGCAAGCCUGAUGCAGCAAUGCGGCGUGUAUGAAGAAGGCCUUCGGGUUGUAAAGUACUUUCAGCGGGGAGGCGUUACCCGCAGAAGAAGCACCGGCUAACUCCGUGCCAGCCGCCGCGGUAAUUC
rnacentral:rRNA from 1 species